rnacentral:tRNA from 1 species
GCCGGAGUAGCACAACGGUAGUGCAGUCGAUUUGUAAUCGAAAGGUUGGGGGUUCGAUUCCCUUCUCCGGCACCA